rnacentral:rRNA from 1 species
UGACCUCAAAUCGGGUGGGACUACCCGCUGAACUUAAGCAUAUCAAUAAGCGGAGGAAAAGAAACUAACAAGGAUUCCCCUAGUAACUGCGAGUGAAGCGGGAAAAGCUCAAAUUUAAAAUCUGGCGGUCUUUGGCCGUCCGAGUUGUAGUCCGGAGAAGUGCUUUCCGCGCUGGACCGUGUACAAGUCUCCUGGAACGGAGCGUCAUAGAGGGUGAGAAUCCCGUCUUUGACACGGACUACCAGUGCUCUGUGAUGCGCUCUCAAAGAGUCGAGUUGUUUGGGAAUGCAGCUCAAAAUGGGUGGUGAAUUCCAUCUAAAGCUAAAUAUUGGCGAGAGACCGAUAGCGAACAAGUACCGUGAGGGAA